AUUUAUUCUCUUUAAUCUAAUAUACAUAUUUACAACCAAAAAUCCACAAGUUUUAAGUACAACAUAUAUACCCAACAAUGAUUACAUAUAUACAAUGUACAGUUGAAUGGUUUGUUUCCUUUCCCUAUUUGUUCAUUGAAAUAAAGAUUGAUUUCAAGAUCAUAGUGAUACUUUCACGAUUUUAUCUGUUUUAUUAAUUUCAUUAAAAAAGGAACCCUUUAGAAAAAGUAAAAUUACUCUACAGUUAAGUGUCAACUGAAAUGUAUGACUAAUCACAUUAAUAACUUACGUAUGGCACGUAGACAAUAAAAAUUCUAAAACAUAGCCCGUUAGAAUUAUUUAAAAACAAUAUUUGAGAGUGCAAAUAGCCAUUUGCAUUGAUCUGCAGCCAAAAGAUCUAAAAAAAAAAAAAAAAUAUAGCUCCUUUUCCUUAUAAAUUGCAUGUAUAUGACACAUUAAAGUUUAAUUAUUUAAAAAUAGACUUAUAGCUAUUUUUAUUUUGAAAGUAUAAUGCACAUGAUAUGUGUUUAGAUAAAUUGUUUAUCUAUAUAAAAUGUAGUCUACAUUCUGGUUUUUAUUUUAAGAAAUUAGGUUUACAUGUAAAUAACUGCACAUGUCUAAAGCCAUAAUAAACCUGGUAAAUCAAAACAAAAUUUCAGAUCGUAUCAUAAUACACAAAAACAAAUAUAAAGUUAUGCACAAUAUUUGUAAAUGAGACAUCAACCCUAUACCGUUAUUGUUAUACAUUAAAAAAGGAAGAAAUAUAUCUAAAAGACAAACUAGAUCAAUCAACAAAAGACUAAUACCUUCACAAUAUGCCAUGCUCUAAUUUGUCUGGGCAAGUUGUGGUGGGAAAAAGCAUACAAAGAUCCACAUCUCACCAAUAACUUCUUUUUACAACUCAUCAUUUUACAUUUUUGAUGGGCAUUUUUAUCUAAAGAGACUGCAAUUAAAUUAUUUGUUCUUUAAAUGGUAUCCUAAGUCUGUUGACGAUAUAAUUGUGAAAUUACAAACAAUACAAAAAGAAAUGCAAAAAUGAAAUGCAACAAAUAAUCAAUUACAAAUGUUAACAUAUUAUCUACUAGUAUAUUGUGAGGGACAUCAGUAAUCUUGAAUACUGAACACCAAUAUAAAUACAACACAUGAUAACUAUCCAAUAAUGCUCUCUUUAUGAAUGUUAAUACGAUAUAGCUCUUUUAAAGCAUAAAUAAAUAUUAUGACAGUUUGGUCGUGUAUCAUUUUUUCAGUUAAAAAAUUUCCUUCAGGUUUUUAACAAACUGCAGUACUUGCUAAGGACAUAUUUUUGAUUCAGUAACUGAUCCACACUUAAAUAGAUUGAAUGUUGAUUGUUGCUAUUUUUAGACAUUAUAUAUAUAUAUUUAUAUAAAUGUAUAUGUAUAUUUGCUAACUUGCACAAUUCUUUUUUUGCAACCUUUGCAGUAUGAAUGAAAUUUAUCGACCUUAGUUCAACUUCAAUUGUGUUUUUUUAAGAAUGUGCAAUUUCUCAAUAAUGAACUCCAAACUAAAAAAAAAGGCAUAACAAUUUUGAGUCUAUUUAAAAAUUCUGCUACUAUAUAUAUAUAUAUAUAUAUAUAUUAGCUUACAACUUCCCAUUGUGCAAAUUUGAUUUGAUUUGCAAUCAACAUAAAAAAAUUGCCAAAAAAACAUUGAUUGUAAUAGCUUUUCUGAUACUUUAAAGGUAUUGCAUUAUCAAUUUUUAUGAUCAAAACGAUACAUCAUGUCCAUUGUAAAGGGUUGACACAGGGGUUAUCUUUAUGUAUUACCCUCUCCCACCGUGGUUAGGUUGUUACAAUGAAACCCACAAGAACUGUAGUGUAUUCAUAAAUUCAAUCAUCUCCAUUUACACAUGCUACAGCACAGAGACUUCUAAAAAUUUAGUUGGGAUGGAAGGUUCAGUUUAAAAAAUAUCAUUAUUUGAUAUGGAUAUUGUCCCCAAAUCUUUUAAAACCAUAAAAUUAUGAAUCCACUUUCCAAAAUAUUGAGUUAAACUUGUGUGACAUACAAAGAUAAAAAAGAAAAGUAUUAAUUAUUUUAUUCAAAAUUAACAAUAAAAUGAACAACAGCUUCUAAAAAUGUGUGAUUUCUAAACUUAUUUCAAAUACAAUUAUCAACUGUUUUCAAAACUUGAUCUCUUUUUUAUAACAUUAUGUACAACGACGCAAAAAAUAAUGAAAUAAGAAAUCAAACUAUGCAGAAUCUAUGAAGCAAAUGUAAUAACUUUCUCCAGACCGCUUUUCGCAACGUCUUCUUCCUUUUCAAAGGGAGGUAAUUCCAUCAUUAUCUGACUGCAGUUGUUAUCUCACCACAAAUCAAUCAUUGUUUGUUAGGGUUAAACUUACCUCCAAAUAAAUAAAAAUCCUAUCAGACAUGCCUUGAGACUACUUAACCUGAAUUCAGCCAUCUCCACUGGAAACAAUGUUAUGUCAUAGUACCCUAUAAUUCAGGGGGAUCAGUCUUUUCCCCUUAAUUACUGUGGGUAGCUCCACUCAAAUGUAACUUCAAGACUCAAUAUUUAAGAUAAAAGAUAAUGAAAUGACCAAUCGGUUCCUUCUCAUUUUGUGCCACUGUUUGAAAGUAGAAAUGUCGUUGGUAGCCCACAAGAUUCUGCUCCUUUUUGGAAUUUUAACCCUUUUGCGCCCCUCCAACUAUUGACAAUUUGCCAUGACAGAACUGGUCAUUUGUAAUGAUCUCCUAGCCGAAUUUCGUAAAAAGGUUAUUAUUUUGAGCAAAGAUAUAAAGAUAAGUAUUAACCCUUAAUAUUUUACUAUACAUCUCACAAACAGUCAUAUAAUGAGAGGGGGGAAAAUCUGUCAAAUAUUUAACACGAUAAACAAAGUUAUGGAAAAUUGGGCUCUCUUUUUCUUCAAUCAAGACUUCAACCCUUUUAUCUAACAAUACUGUCUUCUCUAAUUUCAAUAUAAAUCUUAAAUCCAGUUGUUUAUCACCUUUUCUCAAUAACAAUAGACAAUAUUAAGGAUGCUGAACACUGUAAAUUCAGAAUUUAUUGCGUGCAUUGAUCAUUGCAAUUUGUCAUUUUAUACUAAUUUUUGUGAUAUUGAGAAAAAUCCUGUUUAAUUCAUAUAUUGUUUUUAAAAUGUGAGUUCAAAUUACUGCGAUUAUUACCCAGGUGAAAUUUUUCACAAUAAUAAAAAACAUCGUAAUAAUUUCUGAAUUUACAGUGAUUUACUUCAAUCAGUUAACAUACCUUUUUUAAAAAAAAGAAUAGCUGGCAAACAGACAUCUAUCACUCUAACUGGAACGUCUUUGCAAUGUCUAUAAAAUACAUACCUCAUUUAUCUAUCUCAAUUAUGAAGAAACUCCUAUGUUUAGUUCAUGUUUGACUUAGUUAAUUUCCUGAACUAAGAAUAUUUUGAAUAAUGUCAUUAAAAAAUAUGAAAUGUAAGAAUUUAAAAACAAUGAUUGAUUUAUGGUCCUGUUAGUAUCUUCUUCCACGGAAUCCACGUCCACGUCCUCUACCUCGUCCACGACCUUGACCUG
rnacentral:lncRNA from 1 species